CUUGCUGCUGCCAUGUGAAGGAUGUGUUUGCUUCCUCUUUCACCAUGAUUGAAAGUUUCCUGAGGCCUCCCUACCCAUGCUGAACUGUGAGUCAAUUAAACCUCUUUCCUGUCUGCAUGGUCAUCCCGCAGCUCAAACCCCUACCAGGAGCAUCCAGACAGGAAGGUACAGAGGCCCAGGUGAGGGUGUUUGGGCUUAGGCCCCAUGGCAGCAUCUAGCGAUGGGUGUCUGUGACUUCAAGGAGACAGAAUGGCUGCCAAGGGUUGGGGAUGAGGGAAUAGGGAGUUAUUGUUUUAUGAGUACAGAGUUUCAGUUGAGAAAGAUGAAAAAAGUGUGCUUUUAAGUUCUGAGGUAGAUGUGCAGGUUUGUUGCAUAGGUAAAUGUGUGCCAUGGUGGAAAACUUCCCAAUAUUAAAGCAGAGGUUAUACACGAAAAUGUCUGGAAGAGACAGGAAGGUAACAAAUAUGAGUGAAGUUGCCUUGGUUGAGUUUAUGGGGAGCCGAGGUUCCCAAAUAGAGGAACAGUUGCUGCUCAGCUCUAACCAUACUUGCCAGGUGUUUGGUUUUUAAAGAGAAGGAAGAAAUCUAAAUUUUUGUGAAACCACCCAAUUGUUUGGACACUAAAUAAGACUGAAAUAUAACUAUAAACAUACAAAUUACUAUGUGUACCCAACAAAAUCUGGUACCUAGGCAAAAAGGACAGCUGCAUUGCAUAUAGUUUGCAGUCAUAGUAUGUCUGAACAAGGGAUCUUAGUGUCAGUGUAAUCAUCAAUGCCUAAAUUUGUGAGGUGCUGAAUUCCAGUUCCUGCUAUUUCUUGUGCUUUUAAUGAUAAAAACAACAGAAACAUCAAACAUGUCUUUUUAAACCCAUGAACAAUUUCCUCACUUAUCUCAGAACAAGUAAAUAAUAUAAAAUACUUGAUAGGAGGAAAUUUAGAUUUAGGUUAAGUGAGACACUCUGAAAUCUUUCAAUAUUUUUGUAGCAGGGCUGGUUUCUGGUGAGUUCUUUCUUCCUGGCGUGCAGAGGGCUGCCCACUUGCUAUGUUCUCACGUGGCCUUUCCUCUGUGCCCUCGAGGAGAGACAGGGAGAACUUUGGUGUUCUUUCCUCUUACUAAAAGGACACCAGUCCUAUCAGAUUAUGGUUCCACCCUUAUGACCUCAUUUCACCAUAAUUACCUUCCUAAACGCUCUAUCUCCAACUAUAGUCACAUUAGGGGUUAGGAUUUCAACACAG
rnacentral:lncRNA from 1 species